rfam:Candidatus Kaiserbacteria bacterium RIFCSPHIGHO2_02_FTLL_49_16 rifcsphigho2_02_scaffold_66756, whole genome shotgun sequence.
GAGCUGCGUCAGGCAGUCGCUGGCCCGCAAGGGCUAGAGGAAAGUCCGGACACGCGCCAAUUUUGUCUUUGACAGAAUAGGCAGAACGGUAGCGGGUAACGCCCGUCGGGGUAAUCCCAGGGAUGCGAACAGAGACGGUUUUUUGCGAGAGCAAAAAACCGCCCCGUGAAAUCGCGAAAGCAAUUUCCUCGGGGCGAGCUUUUGUGGCAACACAAGAGGUGCAACGGCAAAAUUCCUACUUGCGUGCAAGGCCGUGUCGCCGUAAUUGGCGAAGAGCCGCUUGAGGUGAUUGGCAACAAUCAUCCCAGAUAAAUGGCUGUCCCUGUCUGCCUCUGGCAGACUCGACAGAAUCCGGCUUAACGACGCAGAACAUGA